rnacentral:rRNA from 1 species
AGUGAACGCUGGCGGUAGGCCUAACACAUGCAAGUCGAACGGCAGCACAGUAAGAGCUUGCUCUUACGGGUGGCGAGUGGCGGACGGGUGAGGAAUACAUCGGAAUCUACUUUUUCGUGCGGGAUAACGUAGGGAAACUUACGCUAAUACCGCAUACGACCUACGGGUGAAAGCAGGGGAUCUUCGGACCUUGCGCGAUUGAAUGAGCCGAUGUCGGAUUAGCUAGUUGGCGGGGUAAAGGCCCACCAAGGCGACGAUCCGUAGCUGGUCUGAGAGGAUGAUCAGCCACACUGGAACUGAGACACGGUCCAGACUCCUACGGGAGGCAGCAGUGGGGAAUAUUGGACAAAGGGCGCAAGCCUGAUCCAGCCAUACCGCGUGGGUGAAGAAGGCCUUCGGGUUGUAAAGCCCUUUUGUUGGGAAAGAAAAGCAGCAGGUUAAUACCCCGCUGUUCUGACGGUACCCAAAGAAUAAGCACCGGCUAACUUCGUG